UCUAAUAUUAUUGUUUACUUUUUAUUUAUUUAUUUAAUUUUUUACUUGUUUUUUUAGAAUGGUCAUUCUCAUAACUCUAUUAUAUAUUUUAAAUUAUUGUGUAAUAAAUAUAAACUCUUAUUAUAUUAUUUCACAUUCACAUUUAAUUUAUAAUUUAUUUUUUUUUUUUAAGUUCCAAUCCACUACACUUUCAAUAACUCAAUUCAUUCACAUCAAUAGGUGAAUAUGGUUAAAAACAUCAACGUCUGCACAGACAAAUGUUUAACAUUAACCUUUACAAACCAAACAACAGAGAAGCUAGAACCCAAAACGUAAAACCAGAAUGGCGAAUCGAUCCAGCUCCAAAGUACAACUCAGUCACUGGCAGAUGGAUUUGUCAGUAAUUCAAGUGAU
rnacentral:lncRNA from 1 species